CUCAGUUGCUGUGGUGUAGUGGUUAUCACGUUUGCUUUACACGCAAAAGGUCUCCGGUUCGAUCCCGGGCAGCAACAUCGUA
rnacentral:tRNA from 1 species